UCCGGCUUAUCACCGGCGGUUUCUUUAGAGUGCCCAACUAAAUGAUGGCAACUAAAGACGAGGGUUGCGCUCGUUGCGGGACUUAACCCAACAUUUCACAACACGAGCUGACGACAGCCAUGCAGCACCUUGCACUCUGUCUGGUUUUACCCAAAAGGCCUGAUCUCUCAGGUUGUCAGAGGCAUUCUAGCCCAGGUAAGGUUCUUCGCGUUGCGUCGAAUUAAACCACAUGCUCCACCGCUUGUGCGGGUCCCCGUCAAUUCCUUUGAGUUUCAGUCUUGCGACCGUACUCCCCAGGCGGUCGACUUCACGCGUUAGCUGCGUUACCGAAGGAGUUACCCUCCGACAACUAGUCGACAUCGUUUAGGGCUAGGACUAC
rnacentral:misc_RNA from 1 species